rnacentral:RNase_P_RNA from 1 species
GCGAUGAAUCAGGCUGCCGCCCGGCUGCCAAUGCAUUUUGGCGGUCAGGAGGAAAGUCCGGGCUCCGCAGAGCAUGAUGCCGGGUAACGCCCGGGACCCAGCAAUGGGGACAGACAGCGCCACAGAAAAUAUACCGCCUGAAGGGUAAGGGUGAAAUGGCGGGGUAAGAGCCCACCUCGGCAUUGGCAACAAUGCCGGAAAGAGGCAAGCCUCAUCAGGAGCAAAGUCAAACAGCGGGACAGCGGCGUUUGCCGUACGCCGGCGGCUCGCCGGUUAACCGCGGGUAGAUUGCUAAAAGGAGCCGGUAACGGUUCUUUUAGACAGAUGGCAGCAUCCGGUAACGGCAGGAAAACCUGCCGUUACCGGGAACAGAACCCGGCUUAUGGUUCAUCGUUUUU